AUUAAAUUAUCAUAAUCAAUGUGUUAAAUUUAGAAUUUAAUUAAGCGAAUCAACCCGCAUUUAAUA
rnacentral:tRNA from 1 species